GGUCUCGUGGCCCAAUGGCAAGGCGUCUGACUACGACGAAGCAUGAUACAAACAUGCUUCAAACACGCAAUCAGGAGAUUCUGGGUUCGAUCCCCAGCGAGAUCA